rnacentral:rRNA from 1 species
CUCCUUUGACGUUAGCGGCGGACGGGUGAGUAACACGUGGGUAACCUACCUAUAAGACUGGGAUAACUUCGGGAAACCGGAGCUAAUACCGGAUAAUAUUUCGAACCGCAUGGUUCGAUAGUGAAAGGUGGUUUUGCUAUCACUUAUAGAUGGACCCGCGCCGUAUUAGCUAGUUGGUAAGGUAACGGCUUACCAAGGCGACGAUACGUAGCCGACCUGAGAGGGUGAUCGGCCACACUGGAACUGAGACACGGUCCAGACUCCUACGGGAGGCAGCAGAC